rnacentral:lncRNA from 1 species
GGUAACAUUCUCGUGUGUGUUUAUUAAUAUUUUUAUCUUAGUUUGCAUAUUUAUGGAAACGGAAACAGAAACCAAAUGCGAGCAAAUGUUAAUUGAAAAAUAAAGAUUUCUUUUUAUGAAUAAUGAUAUUUAAUAUUCAUUUGAACUCUAAUAGCUUGUUAAUAUUUUGAGUUAAAAGCAUGCAAUUGUACAAACUUUUAAUUGAACCACGUAUAAGUAAAUUCUUAAGUGAAAUCCGCUACAAAGUCCUGGAUGAAGUUAUCUCAUUUUGACGAUGAAUAUGCAGAGCUUUCAUCUUGAUAAAAGAACAGGGAAGAAAUGUUAUAUGAUUGGAGCAAAGGAACUCAAAAUUACCUGGGGUGACAUCCCGAAGUACUGGGAAUGGAAGUCUCAGAUAGAUUCCAGGUCCUUCACCUUGCACACCUUUUGCGUUUUUAUAAUUUUGGGGCAUGUAAACUGAAGGAAUCAGUAUGUAUAUAUAAAUGCGUUGAUGAAAAACUUAUUGGUGAACUUUUUCCUUUGCGGGCCCCCUCUUUGGACCAAAUCCGCCCACAUUAGGAUCAAUUGGUUUAUCAAACUGGAUGGAUUAACCCUCUGGCUUUUUAAAAGCACUUUUUCACUCUUUCAUGUAUUAGGGGAUUUCACCUGGAAAAGAAAAUGUGCCAUACUAAUGGUUUUUGUUUCUACGGAGUCAACUCUAUCUCAUCAAUGAAAUUAUCUCUCCCACUGUGGUUAUGCAGAUUCUCAAUAGUGGCAAAGCUUUUGGAAGUAUGGUGGCUUGACAUACGAGGCAAGAUAGAGGCAAAAAUGCUAUCCCCAAAUACUCAUUAUGCAGCUUAUCUCGUAUAUAGGUUAGCAAAGAAUUUCAAGGGCCUUGGAUCAGCUAAUGGGAUGAUCAAGUUUCUUAUCCAUGAAGACGAUGCUGAUGCUGAAAAGCCAGCUACUACUUUGAGACUUCAACCACCCAAGGAUACAAAUAGUCAGAAUGCUGUCAUGAGGAGACCCGAUGGAUGGAUGGAAGUAGCAAUGGGACAUUUUUAUACUGAUAAAGGAGUUGGCAUGGUGGAGGCACGGUUAUUGGAAACCAAUUGUUGGAAGAGAGGCCUCAUUGUUGAAGGAAUU